AAAAUAAAGCUAAAAGACAAUUGAAACUAUAAUAUUUACGUUCAUAUUUAAUGAAAAUAAUGCUCUUCGUAGAUAUAUAGUAAGACUUUAGUGCAAGAUUUAAAAGAACGAGUAAAUGAAAUAAAUUGUAAUAAACUUUUAACAGUAUGAAAUAUAAAAGUAUUUAAAAAAUAUAAACUGAUAAAAUUUAACUAAAGUAGGGUUAUAGGAUAUGGUUUUUCACAGAACUAUUGCAGAUGUUACUCUUGAUCAUCAUUCGGCGUAGAGAAGAGAGUAUGUAGUUAGAGCUUUGGAAUUCAAUAUAAAAUAGUUUGUGGGUUUUGAGAUAGUGCGAAGAGACGUGUAGCUGUAGCUGAAAGAGGAGAGAAGGACUAUCAAUGAGAUUGUUUAAUAAUUUAAAUACAAAAACAAUAUCAAAGUAAUCCCUUCUUUGUGACAGUAUGAAAAGUUUAAAUUCAGAGCGGAUUCCAGAGUAGGCAGAGUUCGGAGUUAGAUUGAGUUUAUAGUAUGGGUUCCAAACAGGUGUAGCGUAUUUUAGUAAGGGUUGUAGAAAAGCUUUAUAGAUAUGGACAAAACAUUGAGGAUUUUUAAAUUCAAGAUAGCAUAUAUGUGGCCUCCGGUUGAUAUCGCGAUGUUAUCGAUGAAAGGAUGUCGAGCAACUCCAGUGAUCGGUCCG